AGCGAACGCUGGCGGCAGGCUUAACACAUGCAAGUCGAACGGGCGUAGCAAUACGUCAGUGGCAGACGGGUGAGUAACGCGUGGGAACGUACCUUUUGGUUCGGAACAACCCAGGGAAACUUGGGCUAAUACCGGAUAAGCCCUUACGGGGAAAGAUUUAUCGCCGAAAGAUCGGCCCGCGUCUGAUUAGCUAGUUGGUGAGGUAACGGCUCACCAAGGCGACGAUCAGUAGCUGGUCUGAGAGGAUGAUCAGCCACAUUGGGACUGAGACACGGCCCAAACUCCUACGGGAGGCGGCAGUGGGGAAUAUUGGACAAUGGGCGGCAAGCCUGAUCCAGCCAUGCCGCGUGAGUGAUGAAGGCCCUAGGGUUGUAAAGCUCUUUUGUGCGGGAAGAUAAUGACGGUACCGCAAAGAAUAAAGCCCCGGCUAACUUCGUGCCAGCAGCAGCCGC
rnacentral:rRNA from 1 species